CAUCGAUCGAAUUUUGGGUACAAUGGAGGAGAAGUAAUGCUAGGUGCUGUCAUCCAGACCACAACGCAGAAAGCUAAACGACAAUGAGGGGCAACCCCUACACUUGUCAACACUGGCGGACAAUUGUAAUUAUGGUUGGACUAGGAAAAGUAAUAAAAACACAUGAACUAUGAACUGGGAGCUACUUUGGAUGGUGUUUAUCUUCACAAAGUUGAGUGAGGGGAAGGAUUGGCGUAUACUCAAACAAUCACAAACUGCAGCUGUAAUCAACUCUACACAUGAGACUGGAAACAAAAGUGUGACAGAGCAUGCGUUCAACAGCUCAUCGUAUAUAAUAAAUGAAAGCCAGAAAAUGAGAAAUAUAACAGUUUCUGAGACCGGGCCUGCAAAUCAACCGCCUGAAUACGUCAUUGCUACCAUUAUAUCCCUGGUUGUUGUUGUUUUUAUUUGUAUUGUGGCUGUGUUGUUUUGGUACAGGAAUAAACUAAACACCUGCUGGUGUCAAAACAAUUUCUCGGUCUGUACAUGUCUGGUCCUUUCUGAAACAUCGGAGCCAGCGGAGCAGGAUGUGAUCCCCCGUGAAAGUGACAAAAUGAUGCAAGGAGAGCAAAUGUGAAUGGAAAUGAAACCAACAUCCCUCAAAGUCACAUUUUCUUCCACACUGAUAAUAGUAACACUUAAUAUAUGUUUUAUGCGUUGAUAUUUUACGAUAUUUGAUGUUUAUUGUAAGUAACUAUUUCCAGUGAUACUUCUGUUACAGCCUGGGUUUGUAGGAAUUAAAUGUAGGCUAAAGUUUGCUGUCUUUCAUGAAUAAUUAGUAGUUACAUUUACAAAGAGAGAAUAAUUUAGAAUACAAUUUUAGUAUUGAGAAACACAUAUGCUACUGACGAAAUCAUUCCUAUACAUAUUAUAUAAGGAGCAGUGUAACAAAAAUACUUUUCUGUUUCUAUUUCAUUUCCAUCACACAGAAAACAUAUAAAUGUUAGAUAAUCUUAUGUUGUAUUAUUAUUAAUUAGUCAUCUUCUUUCAAACAUACCCUUUUAAUACUAAUCAUAAAUAUGCCAAUAUAAAAUAUGUAUUUUUAAACAUUGGGGUCAUUCUGAUAAACUGUAAGUAGUAGAUUUGAGAAAGAAUGAUAAGUAUUGUUGAAUGUUAAGCAUGAUGCUUGUUGACGGUUAAAUGUUGAGGCUAAUGCAAUAAAUGAAAAAAAAGA